CCGGAUCGCAGCAUGUCAAUGACUCUGUCUACAUGUCAACAUGGUCUAAUUCGUGAGGCAAGUGUGUGGAUCUUGGUCCAAUUCAGUUCAGACUUCAUCUACUUGUUAACAACUUCAGGUAAUACUCAAGUUAUUUAACUUCCUGACUAAUCAUGCACACAAAAUUGCAUAGUAGUUUAGUAUGCUACGCAUGAAUUUAAUGCAUAUAUCGACUCAGGCAUGCCACCGCUAUUUUGUGGUUCUGUGUGAAAUACUUUUAGUAACUUGGGAAAUGAUUAGUGGCUAAACCUGUCCGGAAAACAAAAUACCAACUAUGUGGCCCGGUGGUUUACUGGAUUUAGUUGCAGCACUUAUACUCACUGGUUUUGAUUCCAUUUCUAUUUUUGAUUGAAAAUCUGAGGAAAAGAUUCACGGCCACAAUUCAUGUUGUAUGUUUAGCAUUUUGUUGUUACAAUUAAGUUUCUAUGGUUAGAUACUUGCAAUCCAUUUAAGCAGGAAAAUAGGUCACUACUUGUACUGUAUGCUUCAUAUCUUUGUGAUCCAUGACUGUAUCAUACGCUUAGAAAAGCUGUAGCUCCUCAAUAAUUCUGAUCCAUUCAUUUAAUUGAGUUCCAAGUUUCUAUGCUGAAUCAGUUCUAAAUCCCUUCUCUUAUGCCUAAUUUUGAGUUGUAGCAGUGUGCUGUCUUCAUGCAUGUUUGUAGAGAGUGCCAGUGCGGCACUAGAGUUUGCUUGCAGCCUAAUCACUUCACCAUUACAUUGUCCUAGAAACAGUAAAGCUUAUGCCUAAUUAAUUUUUUAAUUGUAGGAGAAAUAAUGAGACAUCCUUGCUUUGCAUCUGUUAGCCAGCACUAGCAACAUGUUUCUGUUUGCUCUCUCUGUAUGUCCCUCUCUGAAGUUGUCUACAUGUUGUGGUGUUUCUGAAACAGAAAAUUUCAGUAAUUACAACAGAUGGGCAAGACCUGUACUUAGUUCAGCAACCUCAGUUCCUCUCUAUCGACAACUGUAGGUCAUGGUUAUCUGCAUUUCCUGUUCGGUGCGUUAUCUGGGUGCCUCAAGUAAGCCCUUGACUAACAAGUUGUUUGUGCUAUUUAUUGGAUUUGCAGUAGAUAGGUCUUUUAUAACAUGGUGAUAAUGGCAAACUCAGAACACCUUACAAUACAUUUUGUUGCUUCCAAAUAAAUUUGAAUUAAUACUUAUUAUCCAUUGGUACAGUUUUGCUGAUAUAUGGAGUGUUGGUUGCACGGUAAUUGAAAUCACAAUAGGCAAACUCGCUGGGUCUACAAGGGCUGGGUCGACGAGCGCACGCUCAACCCGGCCAAGAGCGUACUGUAAUAUGUAUUUAUAUGGGUGACAAUUUUGAAAUAUGAAUAUGUUCUUGCAGGAAUAAAGGUGGAAGGAAUUUUGCGCUCUAGAAGUGGAGGAGGUUGACAGUAGAUUGCAAGAAUAUGAGCAAGGUUUUUUUCAUUACUUAGUUUGUAUUUAAAAUUGUAGAAUAUGAGAAAGGUUUUUUGACACUCACUAUUUCGACAUAUGGGUUUUCUGUAUAUCUCUUGAUUUGUUUAGUGCUUUGCUGGGCCAGGGUCUUAGGUUGGUAGAUUUACAUUUACCUCCACUGCUUUAUGAGGUUCAGCCUUAUCGAUUAUCCCUUCAAUCCUGAAACCGUAACGUGAUGCUUCUAAUUGAACAGCAAGCUACUUAAAU
rnacentral:lncRNA from 1 species